UACGGGGGGUGCGAGCGUUGUCCGGAAUCACUGGGCGUAAAGGGCGCGUAGGUGGUUUGAUAAGGGUGUGGUGAAAGUCCGGGGCUCAACCCCGGAUCUGCCGUGCCGACUGUCAAACUCGAGGACUGUAGAGGCAGACGGAAUUCCGGGUGUAGUGGUGGAAUGCGUAGAGAUCCGGAGGAACACCAGCGGCGAAGGCGGCAUCCUGGACUGGUACUGACGCUCAAGAGCGAAAGCGUGGGGAGCAAACAGG
rnacentral:rRNA from 1 species